AACAUCUGGAAAACUCCAAUGCACACAUGUGAGAGUAUCACGAUAUGGAGACUCAAAAGAAGAAGUGCUGGAUUUUGCUGCUCUGUUGGACACAGAACCAUAAACUUGAGAAUGCAAGUUCUUGAAAUUCCAAGGCAACUUCCUAAUUUCACUGUCAGCUGGGUUUCAUGUCAUCUUCUGCUAACACAACUGUUUCUGUGUUUCCUCUGUGUACCUUUCUUGGACUUCAGCUUGGGGUGUUUUCUUUCCCAGUAAUGAUUUUUUUUUCCUUUUUUUCUUUUUACAUGCAUAACACAGAGAAUACCCCUCCACAUCAACCCUGUUCUCAACAUCAAGAUAUUUCCUCUCACACUCCUAAGUCACUCAGUCUCAAUCCUUUAUAUGCCCUCAGACUUAUUCCCAAACUCCCAGAACCUGUUUUCAGAGAUAAGGCAGCAAUAAAAGCACAUUAAGAAGUCCCCCAUAUCUGCCAAUCUAAAUGCAUCUCCAUUUUCUCAAGCCUAAUCCCUGUUCAUCAGAAGUAACUGAGGGUCUGACAGUAAUAGCUGAAGCCUCAGGAGACGAAAUGGACUUUGGAGGAGAGAGGCUAGAGAGCAAAGACUAUUAGUUGACAUGAGGUGGCUGCUUAAGGGAGCCUAUGGCUACAUUGUGUUGUCACUUGUUUAGAAAAGAGCAUAUUUGUAUUUCUGGAGGCAGAAUUUUCUGAAUUCUGGACAACAGAAUCUCCUUAGGCCCCAGGCUUCACAAGACUGUGACCUCCUGAAAGUCCAUCAACAAUUGGGCAGGUGGUCAGGGGCUUUUUAUCGCAUGACCACAAGAAGAAUAAAGGCUGAAGGGAGCCAGAGAAAGAGCCUUUGGGGAAAGCAUAGAUAAGGGGUUCUGUCACUCAUGUUGUAGAAGGAGAUGCCUCCUGCUUCAUAGUCCAGGAAAAUCUCAACCAGGGGGCUGGGAUCUGACAAGAAGAGAAGGGUCUUGAGUGGGGAGAGGGCCCAGUACCCAUUUACAGAUGACUCCACAGCCCAGAUCCCAUUCUUAAGAGCAAGGAGAAUUUUCUUCAUCACAUUCUUCCUACAGACUCCAACCAACCAUUAUUUCCCAUCUCCCACCUCCACUUCCUGGUAAUGUCUCUCCGAGGUGAAGGCUUCCAGGCCUAGCACACAGGGCCAGGAGUCACAUCUCUCUGGUUUUUCAGGCAGUUUCUGACAUGAAUCUUCCAGUCAAACAGAUUUGAAUCCUAAUAAAGAAAGAGGUGAGGGAGGGCUAUGUUUGGGUCCAGAGUCACUUCAACUGGAGAGAAAGACAGAAACAAAAAGUCUGACCAUUGGUCUUUGGAUACCUCAGAGGUUAAAUCUCAGCACCCAGAGCAGUGCCCAGCCACUAACCUGCACAAGAUCGAGCCAGUUUCCAUUCUAUAAUAAAACAGAAACAAGAGUCAUUGCCAGGUUAAAGAGAAAAUCAGCUGGGUACGGUGGCUCACACCUGUAAUCCCAGCACUUUGGGAGGCCAAUGCAGGAAGAUCACUUGAGCCAACUAAGGAGUUCGAGCGAGACUCCAUCUCUACAAACAAUUUAAAAUAAUAAAGAGACAGAGAGAGAAAGAAAAAAAAAUCUUGUGUAAUUUAAAGUAAAAGACAAAACUAAACUUCCUCCUUUGUAUAGUGGUGUGAAGAAGAAGAAGAGGAAGAAGAAAAAGAGGAAGAAGAAGAAGGAGGAAAAUAAAAAGACAAAACUAACAUAAAAAUUUCAGGAGCUUCUUUGUAAAAUGAAUAGAAAUUCUUCAAUAGGCCUCUGGGGCUGAGAUGUGAGGAGGAGGAGGAAGAAAAUGAGAGUGGGAAGGACGCACUGGAGGACUGUUACUAUCUGAAUCCUAUCGCCUACAAAACAUCAACUGAUCAAUCAGGCACAAGAAAGUGUUCUGCUUCUUUCUGUCACCUUAGAAAUAACCUGGACGUCAAACAUCGGUGAAAAGAAGAGAAAAAAAGGAAAAUGAAAUAACCUGGAAGCUCCUGAUGAUUUGAGAUCAGAUCUUUACAUACUAAGAGAUGGUUGCUAUAUCUGGGGGCCUUGAGUGAAAGGCAGCAGUGGGAGCCCAGCACCCAUUUCCAGACAACUCCACAGCCCAGAGCCCAAACUCAGCAGUUAUGAGUUGAAUUUAUUUUGUCAAACAAAAAGAGUCAAACUCUGUAAAAUAUUGCAAGAGAUUUAUUCUCAGCCAGAUAUGAGUGCCCAGUGGCUUGUGACACAGCCCCGAGAUCCUGUGAACAUGUGCCGAAGUGGUUGGGCUCCAGCUUCUUUUUAUACUUUAUAUUUAUUGAGAUGUUUUAACUCUGCAGGCCAGAGAGAGAGACCUAUCUGAAACCAGCUUGGGCAGCUGGAGAAGAAUGAGGGUGAGCAGACAUCUGGGCAAGCCGGAGUUUGGGAAAACUGCCAUCUUCGACCUUUCUGGAGCAGCAAGAUACUGGUGUGAGUCUGUCAGGAGCUUCAGCCUAGCUGAUGAAUAGACAGGAGAGAGCGAUGGGCUCUACAGACCCGCUCAGCAGUUCUUUCCAACUUGGAGUGCUCUGGUCAUUUGCAUCUGAAUCCUGCUGUGUCUUCUCUCCAGUGGAGAUUUUCAAACCAGGCUGCCAUCAGCACCCACUCACCACCCUAAGUUUGAAUAUGGACUUUGGAGCUGGGCAGCCCUUUUGUGACCAUGAGGCAACAUUGAAGAUGCAAGCCACAUGCUAAGACAGAAGAAAAUAAAGACAGAACUAAGCUGGGGCAUGUAUGACAUUUCAAGCUCUCAGAUCAGCCCUUGAUGGCCACCAUCCAUAUUUAUUGACAUGAAAAGAAGUCCUCAUUUUGUCAAAGCCAAUGAUAUUCAGGACUGUUAUUAAUAACAAAAUACAAUUCUUCCCUCUACCCAAAAAAAAAAAAAAAAAAAAAA
rnacentral:lncRNA from 1 species